GACGUAGGGUGCGAGCGUUAAUCGGAAUUACUGGGCGUAAAGCGCACGUAGGCGGCUUUGUAAGUUAGAGGUGAAAGCCCGGAGCUCAACUCCGGAAUUGCCUUUAAGACUGCAUCGCUUGAAUCCGGGAGAGGUGAGUGGAAUUCCGAGUGUAGAGGUGAAAUUCGUAGAUAUUCGGAAGAACACCAGUGGCGAAGGCGGCUCACUGGACCGGUAUUGACGCUGAGGUGCGAAAGCGUGGGGAGCAAACAGG
rnacentral:rRNA from 1 species